ACACGCCGACGCCGACGCCGAGUGACAGCCGAUCACAAGCCUUCGCCGUGUCCUUUGCCGAGCUGCUUGCUGUUUUGCAUUUUGCCACUGAUCUCUUCGACUUUUGACGCACACCUUCUCCUCUGAUCCUCCUUUGAGUUGUCAACAAUAUCUCCAUCUCAUCCCCCCCUCACUCCUCCAUCCUUCCUUUCCUCUCCCAUUUGCCAGGAAGAAAUCUCUUUAUUAUUCUUUUUUUGCCUCCCUUUCUCAUCUAAUCUCAUCACAAGUUCCUGUCAAGUGAGGGCUGCUCUCCCAUUGGCUAUCAUCGCAGCAUCUUCCUGGUAUCCCAUUGGCUAAGAGGGAUGUCAAUGUUUACCCAUGAUGCUUUUCAUUUCCCUUGAAAACUCGACUGUCAUCGAAUCAUGCUCACGCUGUCCCAUGCUGGCUCACAUUAUGUCUUCAAGAAAGUACCUGGACAUCAAUAUGUCAGAAGAUAGUGACAAAGUGACACAUUCAACAGCGCGCGCACAUCCACAAGAAAUCCAAGUCUUCUUCUGAAAGUUGUGGGUUCAAUUUUCUCACCAGUUCCUGCAGUCUCUUCAAAAGUCCGACAUUUUCUCCAGUCAGACUUGGACAAAAGUUCAUUGUCACACCUGCCAGCUUGAUUUGAAAGUCUGCAGUUAUCCCAUGUAAGAAGGUGAGCAGCUGGGCAGGUGACAGCGCAGCUCUCAACCAACGCCAGAGGAAAAAUAGUCGAAGUCGACCACUCUGUUCUUCAUCUGAAGCUCCAAGUUUCAAGUGAUAUCUUCAACCCGCCUCAUUACAUGGCGUCGGGAGAGUGGCGCGUUCUCAAAUGUUCCCCUUUUCUCCUCUCUCAUAUCAGUGCAACGGAGCUCAAUAAGCACUCCUUUAGAGACUCUCCGUCAGAAAACGCUCUACUUUUUCUAGUGACCGUUAGAAAUGACAUAAUUUGUCCUGAUGGCUGCAUCUCUUCAUGUAUAACAUUUUGUAAAGGAUCCUUUUUUGCCUUUACAAUUUUGUUAAACUCCCUUGCUUGCUCUUCAUCAGACAUAUUUCUGUAUUUAUCCUCAUGUUUGCUCAUGUAGUUCAUGUCGUACUCCUCUAACGGAGCGACCUCUAUCCCUCAAAUUAAGCAAACAGCUUUACCUUUGACUUUUGUAAAGAAGUACUUGGCAGUCGAUGUCUUGUUGAAAACAAGGCACUCCUCAACUUCCCUUUUCUUGCCGUGAGCUGACAUCUUGAGGGUAGCCUAGCUAGCAUCACUUGUUCACGCUCGCACAUGUAUACAACAGAGCUGUAUUGCAUGCACGGCAUGCAUAUUUUUUAAGAAUUAUUUUCCAACUUAUGAUUGGCCUCACACGGGCUGGACAGGGUCAGCCAUCAUGUGGCCCUCGGGCCGUAGAAUGUCUGGGUCUGCCCUACAGUAUUUUUAAUACAUAUAACGCUUGCAUUUGCAUUUUUAGUGUGUUGAAAUGUGGUUACAAUGUGUUUGAAGGAUAUGGCAGGAUAAAAAAGUACAUUUAAAUAUCCAUCCAUCCAUUAUCUACCGCUUUUCUGGGUCGGGUCGCGGGGGAAGUAGCUUCAGCAGGGAUACCCAGACUUCCCUUUCCUCAGCCACUUCUUCCAGCUCUUCCGGAGGGAUCCCGAGGCGUUCCCAAGC